UCAUCUUCAACCUCACUCAUCCCUUAGCCGAAUUCCAUUUUCUCUCAAAGGACCUCCAUAGCCGUUCCAUGCACAAGCUUUCUCUCUCCAUGAUCAAGCCAUUUUCCUUCUAAGUUCCUUCAUUAAAAGUGGUCUACACAACUUGGCAAAGAUAUUGGCAGUAAGAAAGAAGAGAUUUGGUGAGUUUUUAGAAAGAUUCAAAAUAGUUGGAAAGGGAUCUUCAAAGAAGGAAAGAAAAUUGGAUUAAAUCAAGUCAACAAAAGAGGUGAAAGAAAGAAUAGAACAGCCAAGUGAGAUCACUUGAAGCUGUGACUUGAAGAUAGACUGGGAUAAAUUUUGAGUAUAUUGUAUGUAUACCCGUAUGCAUUAGUUUAUAAUGUAAUCAUACAUUAUAUGUAUGUAAGCACGUUUGAGCA